AAAGCUCGUAGUUGUAUUUUUGCUUGGCGGUUUGUUGCCUUUGUGGCUGUAUCCCGCUUGGCUUUUGGCUUUUUGCCUUAUUACUUUGAGAAAAUUAGAGUGUUUCAAGCAGACUUUUGUCUGAAUACUGUAGCAUGGAAUAAUAGAGUAGGACUUUGGUUCUAUUUUGUUGGUUUGGGAACCUUGGUAAUGGUUAAUAGGAACGGUUGGGGGCAUUCGUAUUUAACUGUCAGAGGUGAAAUUCUUAGAUUUGUUAAAGACAAACUACUGCGAAAGA
rnacentral:rRNA from 1 species